ACCCAGCUGAGAUUUCAGCAUUUCCAUGCAGACUCCUCCCUUAUACCUGUUCUUCUUUCCGCACUUGGGACUCUGCCAGCACUUGGCAUUUAAUCAGCCACAGUGGAUUUAAGUGUUUCACUUGUGAGUGGCUUAUCUCCCACAUUACACUAGAUAUUCCUUGAGGGCACUGACCAGCCUCCUGCAUCCGUCCGUCAGCUUGGCCCAGCCACAGCUCUGUCUCUUCUUGGACUCCAAAAUGGUCCCCAGCUUGCUUCAGAGAGCUCACAGCCAAGAUGACAAGUGAGACCAUCAACCAUCAGUCCACUACCACCCUCAUAUCAUUGUUUUAUAUGUAUGAGAACCACCAUCAUCAUGGCAGUUACCUCCAAUUCAGCACCUUUUACAGAUCAUCACCAGGCAGUUAGACAGGCACAAGCCGCGCAGGAGAGGGCUCUCCCACCAUCCACUAGGAAUGUUGGGUGAUGGUUUGGUAAUGAUCACAUUCCCUCUCUAAAAUUUAUAAACUCGCAGCCAACACCAGAGACAGAGAUCAUUUCCUGAUGAUCCACACCUUUUGCACCAAAGUGUUAAUUGAAUGCAGGUGCCGGGGGAGACUGAGGCAGAAGAAUCGCUUGAACCCAGAAGGUGGAGGUUGCAGUGAGCAGAGAUCGCGCCACUGCCCUCCAACCAGGGUGACAGAGCGAGACUCCGUCUCAAAAAAAAGAAAAAAAGAAAAGAAAGAAAGAAAAGAAAAGAGACAAAAUGGCAGAGUCUGACCUUCGGACCUUCGGGGCACUCUGCUGGAAAAGCGAUGAUGGGCAUGUGCACCACUUCCUAAACACAUUGCGCAUGCUCACCUCCGGAGGGUAAGGAAGGCGCGGUGGGUGCGGGCAGCCCACCCCAAGGGAAGAAUCAUGGGAAAAGGGCCAGCCUAUAAAGUCCUAGGAUCAUCGCACUUGUCCUCGGUGCCCACUUGGGUCUCUUCCAAGUGUACUUUCCUUUCCUUUCUUUCCUGUUCUAAAGCAUUUAAAGAAACUUUUACUCCUGCUCUGAAACUUGCCUUGGGCUCCUUUUCUGCCUUAUGCCCCUCUGUCAAAUUCUUUCUCCUGAAGAGGCAAGAAUUGAGGUUGUUGCAGACCCAUACGGAUUCACCACCCGGUACCUUCCAUGGGAUACUUUACGCUGGUAACAUGUUCCCAUUUCACAAAUAAGGUUCAUGGAGGUUUGCCCAAAUGCAUGGGAAAUGUGAGGCUGGGACCCAAGGUGUGAGUGCAUUUUGCUCCUUCAAGUUACUGGUAACUUGGUUGGUAAAAGAAAUACUAAUUCUUUGCUUUCCUCAUUUACCCUCACUCCCUUCCCUAAGUUACUAUGUUCCCGGUUUUGCUUCCAGCAGCUUCUCACUCAGCUGCCAUGCAUUGACUUCCCUGUUGAUCCAGCCUACUGCGGACCCAAAUAUUCCUGUUGCCAGAUAGGAGGGAUGAGUAAUGGAGACUCCAGUCCUCAGAGACCUUGAUCAAGUAAAGCAAAAACCCCUUCCUCCACUUUCUUUGCAAGUGGCUAAACCCUUAGUCACUCUGGGAAGAAAAGUAAACUGAAAACUUGAAAAAGUCCCAAGACAGAAUCUAACUCCAUCCCCUGCCCCAGAUAAAAAGCAAGAUAGCACAACUAUAGCAACCUUUUAAGUCAAAUUAAAUGAGCUAAUAAAAAUCAGGCCUGUUCAAGUGCCCAAUUGAUUUAAACAUGAAGAUUGUCAGUUUCCAGCAUCACUGAUUCUAAUCCAACAACCCUCACCAUAGAGGUCUUCAUUCAGCCUGCUGUGUUUGGAGGUUUUGCUUAUUGGGUGUGUAUCUGUAAGGUAAAUCUUGACGAUUUCCUUACUACAGACAAUUAUCUGGCUGGAGAUGUC
rnacentral:lncRNA from 1 species